rfam:Plicaturopsis crispa FD-325 SS-3 unplaced genomic scaffold PLICRscaffold_262, whole genome shotgun sequence.
GCACCUUUAGCUGAAUUGGUACAGCGUUUGCCUUCGAAGCAACUGUUUAUUGGUUCAAGUCCAAUAAGGUGUU